CAGGUUUCGGGUACUCCGUGCCCAAACUUCAACCCUUUGUCGUUGCUGUAUUUGUUUCUUUGCCGGUUUCGGCCGGCAGAAGAUUUCUCAACCCCGUCAACCUGUCAUCUGAAUUUGAUAUUAAAUCAAUUA
rnacentral:misc_RNA from 1 species